UACGAAGGGGGCUAGCGUUGUUCGGAAUCACUGGGCGUAAAGGGCGCGUAGGCGGCUUUAUAAGUCGGGGGUGAAAGCCUGUGGCUCAACCACAGAAUUGCCUUCGAUACUGUAGAGCUUGAGACCGGAAGAGGUAAGUGGAACUGCGAGUGUAGAGGUGAAAUUCGUAGAUAUUCGCAAGAACACCGGUGGCGAAGGCGGCUUACUGGUCCGGUUCUGACGCUGAGGCGCGAAAGCGUGGGGAGCGAACAGG
rnacentral:rRNA from 1 species